AUUGAACGCUGGCGGCAUGCCUUACACAUGCAAGUCGAACGGCAGCAUGAUCUAGCUUGCUAGAUUGAUGGCGAGUGGCGAACGGGUGAGUAAUACAUCGGAACGUGCCCUGUAGUGGGGGAUAACUAGUCGAAAGAUUAGCUAAUACCGCAUACGACCUGAGGGUGAAAGUGGGGGACCGCAAGGCCUCAUGCUAUAGGAGCGGCCGAUGUCUGGUUAGCUAGUUGGUGAGGUAAAGGCUCACCAAGGCGACGAUCAGUAGCUGGUCUGAGAGGACGAUCAGCCACACUGGGACUGAGACACGGCCCAGACUCCUACGGGAGGCAGCAGUGGGGAAUUUUGGACAAUGGGCGAAAGCCUGAUCCAGCAAUGCCGCGUGUGUGAAGAAGGCCUUCGGGUUGUAAAGCACUUUUGUCCGGAAAGAAAUGGCUCUGGUUAAUACCUGGGGUCGAUGACGGUACCGGAAGAAUAAGGACCGGCUAACUACGUG
rnacentral:rRNA from 1 species